rnacentral:rRNA from 1 species
GACAGAGGGUGCAAACGUUGUUCGGAAUUAUUGGGCGUAAAGAGCUCGUAGGCGGUCUGUCGCGUCUGCUGUGAAAACCCGAGGCUCAACCUCGGGCUUGCAGUGGGUACGGGCAGACUAGAGUGCGGUAGGGGAGAAUGGAAUUCCUGGUGUAGCGGUGGAAUGCGCAGAUAUCAGGAGGAACACCGAUGGCGAAGGCAGUUCUCUGGGCCGUAACUGACGCUGAGGAGCGAAAGCGUGGGGAGCGAACAGG